rnacentral:rRNA from 1 species
GACGAACGCUGGCGGCGUGCUUAACACAUGCAAGUCGAACGGAAAGGCCCUGCUUUUGUGGGGUGCUCGAGUGGCGAACGGGUGAGUAACACGUGAGUAACCUGCCCUUGACUUUGGGAUAACUUCAGGAAACUGGGGCUAAUACCGGAUAGGAGCUCCUGCUGCAAGGUGGGGGUUGGAAAGUUUCGGCGGUUGGGGAUGGACUCGCGGCUUAUCAGCGUGUUGGUGGGGUAGUGGCUUACCAAGGCUUUGACGGGUAGCCGGCCUGAGAGGGUGACCGGCCACAUUGGGCCUGAGAUACGGCCCAGACUCCUACGUGAGGCAGCAGUGGGGAAUAGUGCACAAUGGGCGGAGGCCUGAUGCAGCAACGCCGCGUGCGGGAUGACGGCCUUCGGGUUGUAAACCGCUUUCGCCUGUGACGAAGCGUGAGUGACGGUAAUGGGUAAAGAAGCACCGGCUAACUACGUG